AUUGAACGCUGGCGGCAGGCCUAACACAUGCAAGUCGAACGAGUGGCGGACGGGUGAGUAAUGUCUGGGAAACUGCCUGAUGGAGGGGGAUAACUACUGGAAACGGUAGCUAAUACCGCAUACCAUCAGAUGUGCCCAGAUGGGAUUAGCUAGUAGGUGGGGUAAUGGCGUACCUAGGCGACGAUCCCUAGCGGGUCGGAGAGGAUGACCAGCCACACUAGAACUGCGACACGGUCCAGAAUCCUACGGGAGGCAGCAGUGGGGAAUAUUGCACAAGGGGCGCAAGCCUGAUGCAGCCAUGCCGCGUGUGUGAAGAGGGCCUUGGGGGUGUAAAGCACUUUCAGCGAGGAGGCGUUACUCGCAGAAGAAGCACCGGCUAACUCCGUGCCAGCAGCCGCGGUAAUUC
rnacentral:rRNA from 1 species